rnacentral:rRNA from 1 species
ACUACGGGAGGCAGCAGUGAGGAAUAUUGGUCAAUGGACGAGAGUCUGAACCAGCCAAGUAGCGUGAAGGAUGACUGCCCUACGGGUUGUAAACUUCUUUUAUAAAGGAAUAAAACGAGGCACGUGUGCCUUUUUGCAUGUACUUUAUGAAUAAGGAUCGGCUAACUCCGUGCCAGCAGCCGCGGUAAUACGGAGGAUCCGAGCGUAAUCCGGAUUUAUUGGGGUGAAAGGGUGCGUAGAUGGGUUGUUAAGUCAGUUGUGAAAGUUUGCGGCUCAAGCGUAAAAUUGCAAUUGAUACUGGCAGUCUUGAGUACAGUUGAGGUAGGCGGAAUUCGUGGUGUAGCGGUGAAAUGCUUAGAUAUCACGAAGAACCCCGAUUGCGAAGGCAGCUUACUAAACUGUGACUGACAUUGAUGCUCGAAAGUGUGGGUACCAAACAGGAUUAGAUACCCGGGUAGUC